rnacentral:rRNA from 1 species
GAUGAACGCUGGCGUGCCUAAUACAUGCAAGUCGAGCGAACAGACGAGGAGCUUGCUCCUCUGACGUUAGCGGCGGACGGGUGAGUAACACGUGGAUAACCUACCUAUAAGACUGGGAUAACUUCGGGAAACCGGAGCUAAUACCGGAUAAUAUAUUGAACCGCAUGGUUCACUAGUGAAAGACGGUUUUGCUGUCACUUAUAGAUGGAUCCGCGCCGCAUUAGCUAGUUGGUAAGGUAACGGCUUACCAAGGCAACGAUGCGUAGCCGACCUGAGAGGGUGAUCGGCCACACUGGAACUGAGACACGGUCCAGACUCCUACGGGAGGCAGCAGUAGGGAAUCUUCCGCAAUGGGCGAAAGCCUGACGGAGCAACGCCGCGUGAGUGAUGAAGGUCUUCGGAUCGUAAAACUCUGUUAUUAGGGAAGAACAAAUGUGUAAGUAACUAUGCACGUCUUGACGGUACCUAAUCAGAAAGCCACGGCUAACUACGUG